rnacentral:rRNA from 1 species
AGUGAACGCUGGCGGUAGGCCUAACACAUGCAAGUCGAACGGCAGCACAGUAAGAGCUUGCUCUUACGGGUGGCGAGUGGCGGACGGGUGAGGAAUACAUCGGAAUCUACUCUUUCGUGGGGGAUAACGUAGGGAAACUUACUCUAAUACCGCAUACGACCUACGGGUGAAAGCAGGGGAUCUUCGGACCUUGCGCGAUUGAAUGAGCCGAUGUCGGAUUAGCUAGUUGGCGGGGUAAAGGCCCACCAAGGCGACGAUCCGUAGCUGGUCUGAGAGGAUGAUCAGCCACACUGGAACUGAGACAGGGUCCAGACUCCUACGGGAGGCAGCAGUGGGGAAUAUUGGACAAUGGGGGCAAGCCUGAUCCAGCCAUACCGCGUGGGUGAAGAAGGCCUUCGGGUUGUAAAGCCCUUUUGUUGGGAAAGAAAAGCAGCAGGUUAAUACCCCGCUGUUCUGACGGUACCCAAAGAAUAAGCACCGGCUAACUUCGUG